ACAACAAGUGGUAAGCGGUAUUUUACCGAUUCGAUUGGCAAAGCAAAUACGUGAAAAGAAAAAAGAACCAAAAGAAAAGCAAGAAUUUAAAGCAAAACUUAUAACGGCAGAGAUAAUAAUUUUGGUGUUAAGGCAGCAUUACACACUUUAUGUUCGAGCACCUGAUGUUUUGAAUGAAAUCACUUGAAAGGUUUUUCGAAUCCGAUUAUAAUUUCGUGCCGAGACUGAAGUUGUCAAGCUAUUUUUAAAGGAACUACAUACAUAACGAAAAGUGUAGUACUGCCCUAUUAAUACAUUUUGCGGUCUGAAAACCAGGCACUUCACAGACAGAUGGGUGUUCCCAAUAGUUGGGCCCACCACUGUGUGCGGUUCGAUCGAGUGAAGCUAAUAAAAUAACCGACGCGACGAGCUAAAAUGUUCGAAGGCAACUAAAAGCAGCAAACGAAAAUUCUUAGCCGCCGACCGGCAAACAAUCGCAUCAGAAAAAAAAACCAAAAGCAGAGAAGAAAACUUUCGAGAUGUUCCCAAUUGCAGAAGCGCACAAAUCUAUUUUAAAGGUGGCUUACUUCAGCACUAGAUUUUUAAACCACUGCUAUAAGCAAGAUGUAGAAGUUCUGAGAUACCUAGUUAAAUCCGAUAUAAAACCAUGAAGACCACUAUAUUUUGGAAUAUAAGCGAUGGUUUUUCGAAAACUGGAACGUUGAUUUUUAUCACAUGAAGAGCUUAAGUCGUUAAGUCGAGUUUGAGGGACACAUGUCAAGAACCGCGUGCGAGCGAGAUGGAGCUAAUGGAGCACUUAUCUGGUAGCCCGGCGACUCCGGUUCAAGAGCCCAAUAUUUUUGUAUUUUUUUUCUUUGGUGAUAAGAUAGUCGCGGGAACAGGAUAGUUGUAUAAGCGGUAUAUUGAUAAGACGACCGACAAUAUAUUGGCCAAAUCAUUUAAUCAAUUAAUUGCUGACAAAAACGAGCCAAAGUUCGAAGGUCAACAGGCGACAUUGCGAAAGUGCCCGUGACAUUGACCUCGACAUCUGGAAAAUCAAAUAUCACCCAAAAAAAAUAACAGCAUAUCUAUGUAUGUAUGUCACCAUUUGACCCAGUUAAUCGAAAAUCGUGGAAUUAACGAAAAGGAAUUAAGGAAAUAUUAUUUUUAUUGUGCCGUGUGUGGGAAAGAGAGGUGGCGCAAACAAAGCUAGACAAAGACGGGGCGAACACGCGUUCAACAAACUUGAUUAACGGUUUAUCGAUUUGCCAUCGCACUCGCACAAACACGUGCUUUGUUUGUCGCUCCUAUUGAUUUUUACGACAUUGCAUGGAACUGAAAUAACUGCACAUUUCUACUUCUUCCUUUUGUGCACUCCUUCCCAUUUCAUAACGCUGUUUGCUUGCAUGUGUGUGUCUGAUGUUAAAAUGCCCACGGUUGAGCCCACGUGUGUUGUUUUUGUUAAUGACUGUGAUUAUCAUAUGUAAAACUUUUCAUUUGUUAUUGUUUUUCGAUGGAAGAAGGAAAAUUAAACACAUGAACAAGGUGUAAAGUUGAUGAAACACCGAGAGGAAAUAGAAAUCAUAGUCGUUGCGUUUUGCACACUCGCAAGAUAACCAACUAACGACAUUUACUAACAAUAAACAAAAAGAGAACUUAACACGAGAACACAAAACACAUGAAAAAAAACAGACAAAACAAA